rnacentral:lncRNA from 1 species
GCCAGCCUGGCUCAGAGAACCCAGCAUGGCCCAGAUACUAAUGAUCUUAGCUCUCGGCACCAUCCUGACCAAUGUGACCCAGGACAGACCGUUGCCUUGGCCUUGGCACCCAGAUCUGUGCCAAGCCUUUGGGUGCCAGGAGCCAGUGAAGCAGGACGAAUGCGAGAAGGAACUCUACAAUAUCCAGACCCACCUUUGCUGCAGGAACUUCACACACAGUAAGGUGAUGGAAAAACCCAGCCCGACUUCCGAAUGCUGUGGCUUCGAAGUCUAUGAUCAGAAAACGCAGGAGUGUUGCGAAGACCUCAGCAUAAAGCCCAAGCAGGACUGCAGACAAAUGGGCAAGAAAUCCGUCUCCUGCAGAUCAGGUGCGGAGAGAUGCGGCUCUCUCUCAGCAGCGCCGGGUGAAAAGCAAAGAAACGGAUGAUAUAGAAGACAAGGGCCUCGCAGGCAGGAGGUCUCAGCAGGGGGGAGGGGUGGGGUUAGCGGGAGGCUGGUGUUUUUUAUCCGG